UCCUUUUGUUUGGUACAUUUUCUUGUUUUCUCGCAUUGAAAUAUAUAAACUACUAUUGUUUUUGCCCAAUUAUACAUGCUAAUGUUUAGUCGACAUGGCCAAAAUAUGACCAUAACAUCAUUAAAUAAUAGGUACGAUUGACGUUAAACUAAGGGCUUGAAUUAAGCCGAAACAUAAUACGAUCUUAGACAUAAUGCCAAAUACAAACAUGUGCGAUCUAAAUCUAAUCAUACUGCACAUAACCUGUGACGUUCAACUCACGCUUGAGUUUGUUCUCAUGAUACUUAAAGGAGCUAGGGCCAUGCCUGAGGAUGGUUAAUUACAGCCAGCCUGAACAUAGACAAAGAAACCGACCGCUUACGACAUCAUCAUUUUAGUUGUAAAUAAACAAAAUAAAAAUUGUACACGAAUAAUAAAGACAUACAAUUUUAAAUGAGCCUAAGACAUUAAGAAAAAAUUAAAAAUGUUGGACUGGUACUGAUUACAGCUUCAAUCCCAAAAACUUUGCUAUACAACCUGUGAUACUGCUAAUCUAACCUAUUAAUUUAGAGUCAUAUUUUUAUCUACAAUUAAUAAGUCAUAGUAGGACCACUUACAGAAUUAGUUAAUAUUUGAUUAUUUACAAUAAUAAUAAUCCAACCAUAAAUUUGAAUUUUUUUUUAAUUAUAACAAAAUCUGUUGAGAAAGAAUCUAACAAAAUCUUACUAAAAAUUUAAAUAUUUUAUAAAAUAAAACAUUAAUUAAUUUUGUAAUUAGUAAUAUAAUAUUAUUAUAAAUCAGUGUUAAUUUUUUUUUUAUAAAACAAGAAAAUAAAAAUUCUAUACUAUUUCUUUUAUAAAUUUUAUAAUUAUAUUCUAUAUUAUAUAAAAGUAGAAGUGAUUUAUGCAUUAAAUAUGAAAAUAUAUAUUUAAGAGGUAAAUUAACAAAUUUUUUUUUUAAAUUGUUUCAUUUAAGUAAAUUAUCACUCAUUAUUAAAAUUAGUUAAAUUUCAUAAAAUAUAAAAUAUAUUUAUACAAAAUAAAUUUGUUAACACAAGUUAAACUUUUAUAUUCUACAACUAUAUAUUCUAUUUUUAUUUAUUUUGAAUCUCUCAACAAUAUAUUGUGUAAAAUGUCUAUAUACAAAAAUAUAAUAGUAUAUAAUAACCUUUAGUUCAUAUACUAUUUUAAAAAUAUGUUAUUAGAAAACUAUGAAAUUUUAAUAACUGAUUAAAAAUAUUAAUAACAAAUCAAAUUUUAAUAUUAAGUUUAUUUUUUAUUUUUAUUACAACAAAAUCCGUUGGAAAAAAGUUAGAUAAUAUUAUCAAAAAUUAAAAUAUUUUUAUAUUAUAAUGUAUUAGUGUAGUAAAAGAUAUUCAAAAUUCAUGUAAUCUUCGAAACUCAAAAAUAGUUGUGUGAUAUUCCAAAGUUUUCUUGAAAAAAUAUAUAAUUUGAAAAAAAAUAUUAAAACUAAAAAUGAUAAUUUUUCAAAUUUUUAAAAGAUAAAAUCAUAGAUAGUAAAUAGUAACUUUUUCAAAUGCACCACGAAAAAAAAAUAUAUGUUAUAAAAAUGAAAGUAAUCUAAUAUUUUGAAAUCUUAAUAAAAAAACUUAAUAUCAUAACAUCCAAAAAUGUAUUCUAUAUGCAUAAAAUUUACUAAAAUAAUAUGAUAGAUGCUACUAUGUAUAAUAUUUACUAAAAUAAUAAGGUUAUAUUAUUUAAACAAAACAAUAUUUUUACUUAGAAAUCUCGUAAAAUACUAAAAUGAUAUAUGUUAAAGUAUAUUUUUAAACACAAUAUGUAAAUAUAAAUUAGCUUAUAUAUAUAUAAAUUUUAAAAUGCAUUAUAUGCAAAAUGUAUAAAUUAAAGAGAAAACAUAAUUUGAAGGAGGUUUUCUAUUUGAUUAUUUCAGAUUGUUAUUUUAUUGUACCUAACUCAAAAUAUAUUAGUAAGUAUUAAAAGUUAACUUAAAAAUAUAUUAGAAAAAUAACUAUAUAUUAAUAAUGUCGAAUAAAAAAUAUAACCAAUAUUAUAGAGUUACACAAUAUAUUAUAUUAAAAUGGAAACUAUAUAUUAAAAAGUUGUAAUAAUAUCAAAUACUUUAUGAAAUGAAAAAAAUAUUUGCAGCGGGUCAAAAUAUAGUAGUCAUUAUAUAUCACCAACAAGUCUCAGUUUGACUAUAUAUGAUUUAGAUGAUAAAAUGACCAUUAAAAUUUUCAGAACUACUCUGAUUUUUCGCUUCUUUGUUAUAACUAGCAACUUGUUAUCUAUUUCAAACUGAAUUGUUCCAACCUUUUUUUUUCAAACUCAAUUGGUAAGCAGAAAUUGACUUUAAAAUAUUGGAUCGCACGUGGAUUAGUGUAAGAAAAACACAAAUGUCCCCCUUCACCGGCCAAGCAGGUCAACAUCUCUACCUUCUAAAACACAACAAUUUUUUUUGUUGAAUAUUAUUUUCUCAUACAAUACACCAAAUAUUUGUUAAUAAACAAAUACCAUAGACCACUACGAAAAGAUCUAGUAAUUGAUAAACUAUUAAACCCAUCUCAACUUUGAGAUAUAUAAAAUGUAUAACUAACUCUUGCAAUUCAAGACAUCAAUCUGCUGGGCUAAACUGUAAGAAUAAGAAUUUAGUUUUUUUUUUAAGUAGGCAAAGAUCAGAAGAAAAAAAAAGCUAAAAAAGGUUCAGCCUGUGAUACGAAGGUUAUAUUCGUCUUUUGGUAUUUCUUUUAUUGGAAAAAAGAGUUUCUGUAAUAAGAAAGCUGUUAUUGUGGCGCUUACUGCUUUAGCUUCGGGAUUUGGUCCAAUCGUCUCUCUUGUACAGAUUGACCCCAAAGACCCCCAGAAGAAGCUCUGAAGAAGACCAAGAAGACAGAGAGAAAGAGAGCAGCUUUGAGUUUUGUCCCAACGGUUUGUACACCUCUUACUUCGUUGGUCUGGAUUUGGUUUUCUGGAUCCGGUUCAAGUUCUGUCCGUUCGGUUCGCUUAUUGUGUGUGUGUGUGUGUCUCUGCUCUGUUUGAUUGAAAGCUUUAAACUUUGGAUCUUCGAUUUUUGUAUGCUUUCAUUUUGUCAUUGAUGAUGAUUGAAAUGGAGUUGCUUUUGUGAUUCUAAUAAUCCAAAAUUUUAUUUUUAUUGUUUACAAUGGGCUAUUGUGUUUGUAGAGAUUAUGAGGAGUCUCAUCAUGAACUUUUUAUGUGUAGAGAUUUCAAAAUUUAGAUUAGAGAGAUUAUGAAAGUUUUGAUGAACAUUUUGGAUUCCUUUGAUCAGUCCCCAGAAAGUAAGAUUCUCUCUAAACUUUUUGUUCGGUAAAUUUUGUCAUACUCUGCCUUUUUUUGGAGACGUGGUGAGGAAUCUCUUCUUUAAUCAGAAUUCAAAAAGGAUUGCAAAAUUGUUAUAAAUAAAAAAGACUUUAUGAUUGUAAAUUCUUCUUCUUCUUCCCUUUAACGGCUUUCUUUUUUGAGAAAAACAAAUAGUAGUUUUUGUUUACUCCUCCCUUCAUUCUCUACCUCUCUUUGUGAAAUUGAAUGAGUUCUUUGGUUCUUUCAAGUGGGACCAAGAACUAGAUGCGUGUCUUAGUUUUCUUAUCUGACAGAGAUUUGAGCAAGUAUUUGCUUUUGUGACCAUAUCUACAUGUUUUCCUCAUUAGUAUUUUUAUUCAUGAAAAGUUUGUUUAAUUUCCUUUUCUUUUGAUUCUGAUUCUAGAUUCACACAUCGUGACCUGGAACCUGAUUCUCACAUCUGCUUCUUUCUCCACGGAGUGCACUAGCUGAGACCACAUUCUAUAAUUCAUGUUUUGUUUGAAAGUAGCAUUCUCCUUGAAAGCUUUGAACGCCUCUUGCUCUGAGCGUUUGUGAUGCACUAAAGAUACUGGACGAGUGUAUCACCAAGAUCGAACUACAGUUUCUUGUUACCUAAGCUUCCGCUCUCAAUCAGUUUGUGUGCUUUAGAUUCAUUACAUGUCUUCCCUUGAAGUGGGAGGAGGAGGACAAGUUGCAUUCGCAGAAAGAACCAAAUCCGUUGAUGCACUCACCAAGAAAGAGAUCCUCUCCGCUCUAACCAACGGAGAGACCACCUCCGAACCUUCCGAGGACGCUAGGUUCAGAAACAGGGAGCUCUCCCUCCCCAACGGCGAGUCCUACGACGGCACUCUCCUCGGAAACGUCCCCGAGGGCUCAGGGAAGUACGCGUGGUCAGACGGUAGCGUUUACGUCGGCGAAUGGAGACGCGGGAUGAGACACGGCAACGGGAAGAUGAGAUGGGCUUCGGGCGCGUGCUACGAAGGCGAGUUCUCAGGUGGCUACAUGCACGGUACAGGGACGUACACGGACGCUAAUAACUUAACGUAUAAAGGAAGGUGGCGGCUGAAUCUCAAACACGGGCUCGGGUACCAAGUUUACCCUAACGGUGACGUCUUCGAAGGCUCUUGGAUUCAGGGUUUGGGAGAAGGGCCAGGGAAGUACACUUGGGGUAAUGGGAAUGUCUAUCUUGGGGAUAUGAAAGGUGGGAAGAUGUCUGGGAAAGGGACGUUGACUUGGAUCACUGGGGACUCUUAUGAAGGAAGCUGGUUGAAUGGGAUGAUGCAUGGGUUCGGUGUGUACACGUGGAGGGACGGUGGUUGCUACGUAGGGACGUGGACGCGUGGUUUGAAAGAUGGGAAAGGAUCUUUUUACUCGGCGGGGACUAGAGUUCCCGCCGUGCAGGAGUUUUAUCUCAACGCUCUUAGGAAAAGAGGGGUGUUGCCUGAUCUGAGGAGGCAGAGCCAAGUUGCUGCAGCUUCUUCGGUUAAUAUGGAGAGUCUUAGAGUCGGUGGUGGUGGUAACAACAAGUUAUCGAAAGGGAGUUUGAUUAACUUGGAGCAGUCACGCAACGGGAGGGUUUCUUUGGAGAGGAGGUGGAGUCUUGAAGUGAGUAUUGAGAAAGUGAUUGGGCAUGAUUACUCGGAUUUGGAGAGGGGAAGCGGUACUGAGGAGUAUAGUGCGAACAGACCGAUCUUGGAGCGGGAGUAUAUGCAAGGUGUGCUGAUCAGUGAGCGUGUGGUGGUAGACAACAGGUUUUCGCCUACUUCGAAAAGAGCUAAGAGGAAACAUAAGAGGCUUUUUAAAGAAGCUAAGAAGCCUGGGGAAGUUGUUAUCAAAGGUCAUAGGAGUUAUGAUUUGAUGCUCAAUUUGCAGCUUGGAAUCAGGUAUGUGCUUGCUCCUUCUAGUCCUGUGUCCUAUAGGGCUGAGAUUUUAAACCAAACCGAACCAAAAUUUUUGGUUAGUUUGGUUCAAUUCAGUAGGUUUUUUUUUCUAAAAGUUCAGUUUUUGGUUUGGUUCGAUUUGGCAAUCGGUUACUUCGGUUAAAAAAGAGAAAACUAUAACCAAACCAUGCCAGAAAACCCGCACCAAACUACCAAGUUUCAAACCGAACUAAACGCAUUUAACUGAGCUUAUCCGAAACUUAAACAAAGUUAAACCAAAAUAUAACCGAAAUCAAAAACUUUGGAGGCCGAACACCUAACCAAACCGAAUUUUAUUUUGAGUUUAAUUUAGUAAGAUAUACGUUGAACCGAACUAACCGGAAACCGAACUACCUGAACCAAAUGUCCUGUGAGAUAAUCUGUUUUUGUGAGAUAAGCUUAGCCUAGUAUUGUGUUACUAAAACUAGUUCAAACGUUUAGGUACACAGUGGGGAAAAUAACGCCUAUACAAAGGAGAGAAGUGAGGACAGCAGACUUUGGACCUCGGGCUAGCUUUUGGAUGAGUUUUCCUCGAGCUGGCUCCGCCAUGACGCCUCCUCACCACUCUGAAGAUUUCAAAUGGAAAGACUAUUGCCCUAUGGUAUUCAGGUUAGUUUCUAUGGAUACUCAAAAGCUUUGUGUCUCAUUGGUGUUUUACAUUCAUUCUAAACCUUGUAGGAACUUGAGGGAGAUGUUCAAGAUGGAUGCAGCUGAUUACAUGAUGUCCAUUUGUGGAAAUGAUACCUUAAGGGAACUUUCUUCUCCAGGGAAGAGCGGGAGUGUCUUCUUCUUGUCUCAGGAUGAUAGGUUCAUGAUUAAAACACUCAGGAAAUCUGAAGUCAAGGUUUGUCACCACUUAUGCAAUUGUGUAGUGCUGGUUUGAGCUUGUGUGUGAUGUAUGGAGUAUAAAUCAAAUCCUUCAUGUGUAGGUUCUCCUGAGGAUGCUUCCAUAUUACCAUCAUCAUGUGAAGACGUAUGAGAACACCCUCAUUACUAAGUUCUUUGGCCUUCACAGAAUCAAACCAUCAAGUGGACAAAAGGUACUGAUGCAUCCCUCUUGUACUAUAUCAUUAGCUUUGAGAUUGUUACUAACUUCAAAUAUCUCUCUCUUGCAUUGCAGUUCCGCUUUGUGGUGAUGGGUAACAUGUUCUUUACAGAUCUAAGAAUCCACCGGAGAUUUGACCUUAAAGGUUCGAAGUUGGGACGCUCUGCAGACAAAGUGGAGAUAGACGAGAACACGAUACUUAAAGAUUUGGAUCUGAACUACAGCUUCUUCUUGGAACCUUCUUGGCGAGAGGGUUUACUAAAGUACUACUCUCUCCAGAACUAUAUGCAUUUUUCAAUUCAACGUUUUAAACUUCUUUCACUGCUGGUGUAUGUAAACAGGCAACUAGAGAUCGAUAGCAAGUUCUUGGUAGAACAGAACAUAAUGGAUUACAGCCUUUUGCUCGGUGUGCAUCACCGAGCUCCAGAGCACUUAAGGACCCAGUUGGUCCGUUCUCGAAGUAUAACAGCUGAUGCGUUAGAGAGUGUAGCUGAAGAUGGUGAGAUUCUCAUAUCUUAAAGCUUAUUAUUAUUAUUAUAGAAUCUCAUUCUAAUGAUGAUGAUAAAUGAUGAUGAAACAGAUACAAUCGAGGACGACAUGUUAUCUUACCACCAGGGACUAGUUCUUGUUCCUGGAGGGAGUGAUAAUGUUGUAACUGGUCCUCACAUCAGAGGCAGCAGAUUACGAGCAUCCGCUGUGGGAGAUGAAGAAGUCGACCUCCUUCUUCCUGGAACAGCCAGGUAAGAGACCGGGGUUCUUAACUCAUGAUUUUACUUCUUUAUUUUUUUACACUUUUCGGCUAGAAAACGACUCUUAUAUCUCUUAUUUAAGAGACGGUUCUUAGUUUUUCUUUAUUAAAAUCUAAGAAAAACUAAGAAGUCUCUUAGCCGAAGCUAAGAAGUCCAGUUAAGAGACUGAGGUUAAUCAUGGUCUUCAAACCAACCAACUAACUAACUCUCAACUCAUUGGCAAAUGAGGAAACUAUGAUUCAUCAUAAUCUCUUGAAAUGCAUAGGCUGCAGAUACAGCAAGGAGUGAACAUGCCGGCAAGAGCAGAGCUGAUACCGGGAACAGAAGAGAAAGACAGACAGAUUCUACACGAUUGCUGCGACGUCGUGCUUUAUCUAGGCAUUAUAGAUAUCUUACAAGAGUACAACAUGACCAAGAAGAUAGAGCAUGCUUACAAGUCUCUUCACUUUGAUUCUAAAUCGAUCUCAGCCGUUGAUCCUACUUACUACUCC
rnacentral:lncRNA from 1 species